rnacentral:rRNA from 1 species
UACGAAGGGGGUUAGCGUUGCUCGGAAUCACUGGGCGUAAAGGGUGCGUAGGCGGGUCUUUAAGUCAGGGGUGAAAUCCUGGAGCUCAACUCCAGAACUGCCCUUGAUACUGAGGAUCUUGAGUUCGGGAGAGGUGAGUGGAACUGCGAGUGUAGAGGUGAAAUUCGUAGAUAUUCGCAAGAACACCAGUGGCGAAGGCGGCUCACUGGCCCGAUACUGACGCUGAGGCACGAAAGCGUGGGGAGCCAAACAGG